rnacentral:rRNA from 1 species
UGGGGAAUUUUGGACAAUGGGGGAAACCCUGAUCCAGCCAUCCCGCGUGUGCGAUGAAGGCCUUCGGGUUGUAAAGCACUUUUGGCAGGAAAGAAACGUCGCGGGUUAAUACCCCGCGAAACUGACGGUACCUGCAGAAUAAGCACCGGCUAACUACGUGCCAGCAGCCGCGGUAAUACGUAGGGUGCAAGCGUUAAUCGGAAUUACUGGGCGUAAAGCGUGCGCAGGCGGUUCGGAAAGAAAGAUGUGAAAUCCCAGAGCUUAACUUUGGAACUGCAUUUUUAACUACCGGGCUAGAGUGUGUCAGAGGGAGGUGGAAUUCCGCGUGUAGCAGUGAAAUGCGUAGAUAUGCGGAGGAACACCGAUGGCGAAGGCAGCCUCCUGGGAUAACACUGACGCUCAUGCACGAAAGCGUGGGGAGCAAACAGGAUUAGAUACCCUGGUAGUCCACGCCCUAAACGAUGUCAACUAGCUGUUGGGGCCUUCGGGCCUUGGUAGCGCAGCUAACGCGUGAAGUUGACCGCCUGGGGAGUACGGUCGCAAGA